AACGAACGCUGGCGGCAUGCCUAACACAUGCAAGUCGAACGAUCCCUUCGGGGAUAGUGGCGCACGGGUGCGUAACGCGUGGGAACCUGCCCUUAGGUUCGGAAUAACUCAGAGAAAUUUGAGCUAAUACCGGAUAAUGUCUUCGGACCAAAGAUUUAUCGCCUUUGGAUGGGCCCGCGUUGGAUUAGCUAGUUGGUGGGGUAAAGGCCUACCAAGGCGACGAUCCAUAGCUGGUCUGAGAGGAUGAUCAGCCACACUGGGACUGAGACACGGCCCAGACUCCUACGGGAUGCAGCAGUGGGGAAUAUUGGACAAUGGGCGAUAGCCUGAUCCAGCAAUGCCGCGUGAGUGAUGAAGGUCUUAGGGUUGUAAAGCUCUUUUACCCGGGAUGAUAAUGACAUUACCGGGAGAAUAAGCCCCGGCUAACUCCGUG
rnacentral:rRNA from 1 species